GUACCGACGUCACCUGGGAACCCACGACCUAUGGUUGGAAAGAUAAUUCAAUUAUCUACAACUUCUACUUCUUGGUAUUUUUCCAAAUUCCAAACAUAUAAUACCGUUUUUGCCCCCCAAAGUCAGGUCACCCGAAAACGUUUUCUUAAAAAUAUUCGUUUGGAGGACUUCCACUUUGAUUUGGCCCAAGGGUCCUUCUUGAGUUGUGUUUAACUUCACAUAUGUGAUUCAUAUAAUUUGUCACAUGUCCCAAAAAAAAAUAAAAAAAAAAUCUUGACGUGUGGGCCCCACCUCAGCUUACAAAUAAUCUGACGUUCAAAAAUACGGGAUGUAACAUUUAUAUGUGUACAUAUUUUGGGAAUUUAAUUAGGACAAAGAAGCAUUUUCGAAAUUAGUUUAUGUGAAAAAGAAUUAUGAAAAUUGGAUACAAUUUGUAUCAAUUCUCUUCACCAAAUUCAGCCCAUUUCGUGGCCCAAUUCACACUCCAACCCAGCCCAAAUCUCCUUGACCCGGUCCAAACCCACCUAAAACUAAAGACACCGCCUAAAUCCCCAAACUAAGUCUUCAACCCCAUUUUCAUCCAAACUAAACGUGAACUCCCCAUUCUUCUUCACCCCUUGUUCAAUCAAAAACCCCAACUAGCCCCGUCACGUCACCUCACCUCGCCGCCACACUUUACCCAUCAGACCAUCGGUUAAAGCCGAUUUCGGCGUCACUGACGCCGCCUCCCAUCAACCCCUGUCCCUUUCUCCCAUUUUCUUCAAGUGACAGAGCGUCGAACAGCUCGUCCAAGUUGAAUCAGCCCCCAAAUCAAGAAGCACGCAAGGAUCUUUGGGUUUAUAGGCCUAUCUUCCAACAAUCCAUAGGGUAAAGGGUCGUUUCAGUCCGUUGGAGCCUAAAACCAUGAAGAAUCCACUAAAUUUGGAGUCCCAACAAAUUUGCAGCAGACUCGACGACGACACUAGCCUCAGUUCGCUGUCCCGGAGAAGAACUUGUAUGCUGAUUCGCGGAAGUUCAACGCUGCUAACUUAUGGAGUAUGUUGAAUCAGUAAGUAAGUAUUGAAUUUCCAGAUAAGUUAUGUGAUUAUGUCUGGUCCCCCGAUCAGCUAUCCUAGCUGCACACUCGAAAAUGUCAAGUUAUAGGAUGCCUUACUCUAAAAAUGUUCAGGAAUUGGUUUUGACGUAAACUCCUCUUUUGGCUUUGCGACUUGAAGUUCUUUUUGUUAAGGUUUCUGAAAAAAAUAUUUUUUAAGACAUGAACCUGCUACCUUCCUGGAAUCUGGUUGGUUUGAUUUUAGAGUUUAAGGUCAUUGGAAAAACUGAAUAGGAUUAUAGAACAGUGGUUUGUUCCAUCGUUUUGAAGUUCAUUGUAUGCUAAAUAUAUAUUCCUAGCUUGUGGUUCGAAUGAUUGAUUACGAAAAAAAAAAUCUAGCUAGUAAAUGAGUUCUAUAAGAGUGUCUGCUUGUCUUAUUCAUCCAUUCAUGAAGUUAAAAUAUGUCUGAAUCUAAUGACUUUUUCUUAUUUCUCUGGUAUGUCCUUUCUAAAAAAAAAAAAUAGCAAAGUGUAGACGGAUAAAUUAUUAUGUGCUACCUGAGUUUGUCUUCUCUUUAUGCCUGGAUAACAAGGUUUCUUAGGCAUUCCAAUGACACUGAAAAUCUGAAUAGAAUUAAAGAGGGCGACAGUUUGUUUCAACAUGAUUUUUGCAUAGUUUUCCUAUUGGUAUUAUAGGGUUUGUGUUGAAUUUUUGAAGUAAGUCAUUUGCGUCUUUUGAAUCUUGUUAUUCUGAACGAGCUGUACUUACUCAAAGGGGGGUCUCAUCUUUUUGUGAACUCGAAAGAACUAAGGCUGGGGCAUAUGUAAAAACUCAGUAGCUAAUUUGCUUCUCUUGGGUGUUCGUGAGUUGGUUACUGAAGUUUCUGUAAACUUGAAUGCAUGCUUGAUAAUCCGUGAUUCUACCUCUCUUGUGUGGUUAAAUUCUUGCUUAAAAGCCGUCUUUUAUUUCAAAAGCAAUAUGUGUUCGUUUAACUAAGAAAAUAAAUUGUUUAGGUGUAUCUUUUCUCGAAUACGGUCGUCUUGUUCCAAUUUUUUUUUAAGAAUCUUUAAUAUCCAUGUUGCACAUCUAGAACAAGCUUAGACUUGAAAACAAGCCUUUGGUCUCUCCUUUGAUAUUGUUUCCUGCUUAAAUCAUGACUUGUGGAAUCUUGUUUACCUAAGUAUGAAAGUUAAGUUUGUGUUGAGAAUCAGGAGGUAAUGGCUGCCACUCUGUUUGAAUACCUUUGUAAAACAACUACAUGCUAAACAUAAUUUCCAGGCUAAAGUUCUAGUUUGUUAUUUUGUGCAUUCCUGUGGGUUUUAUGGUGUAGAAAUGAAAGCUAUAAAACUGAAAUUUUGCAUUAACAGUAGACUAUUACAUAUUCUAGUCGAAUCACAAUAGUUAAUUUAUUUCAUGGGUUGGAAUUGUUAAUAUAUCUCUUUUUCCUGCAUAUAAGAAGUUUCAUUUGAACUUGAUCCGCUUCUAGACUAAUAUGACAAAGGUCCUGGGUAUUAAGUGACAUAGUGAUUUGAUGCUUUGGUCUUUUAAGCCUUUUGCAAGUUUGUGGAUAUGUACUGCAGGUCCUUUCUUUUAGCAGCAAUUUGCAAGAAAUUUUAAACUUGAUUGAGCCUUUUGAGGCUUGCUGAUUAAGAAGUUAUAACAAGAAGGCUUUGAAAUAAGUUGAUAAUUUGUUAGUUAUGACCUCUCUUGUUUGUACUUCGAACUAAAUGUUGUAUUAUUUAAACUAAGUAAAGGACCUACCAUUAAGGUGAGAUAAUCUGUGUUGCUUCCCUUUUUCAAAAAGGUCGAGUUAGAGUAAUAUUGGUUCGACUGUAUAUUUUCAUGUAUAUAGCCUUGUGAAUAUAAAGUAUUCCUCCUAGAAGUGAUGUAUAUAUUUGAAGUUUGAGCUAAUCUAGAGAUAGGUUCUUGGGAAGACCAUUUAAACAAGUUAAUAGAUCCAUUUUCCUGUUCACUUUAUUUCUUCUCUAUUGAGAAUAGUUACUAAUCUUUUUCUUCCUUCGAUUCUUUUACAUGAACACAUGGGAGUGCAUUUGGAGUUGUGCCAUAACUCCAACCUCUGCCCAGAAUUGGAGUAAACAGUAGCAGCCGUCCCGAUUUCUCUCGUGUCUUAAGUGUCGACGCCUUCUUUCCUCUCUUCAAAAAUAUUAUGUCUUUGUAUUGAUGUGUUGUUUACAUAUUUUACUAACAUUUUGUGAGUUUUGUAUUUGCAGUACUUAUUUCUUGUUUUGGGCGUGAACUCUCAAGAAUGGUUAAGAGGAAUAGUUUGCUUAAUCUCUUCCCGCCAUUAGACUUAACUUAAUCAAUUGUGUUUACGUGUGCUAGAUAUGUUAAUUUUCUAAACAAUUGCCAGGUUUUUUUUUUAACUUAUUUGCUAUAGGAGUAAACACUGUUGUAUCUCAUUCACAAAGUUACUAUUUUGGA